rnacentral:lncRNA from 1 species
AUUAAGACUGUGAACGCCACACAGGACAAUCUGAAUACCUUGUCUCUAACCCAGCGCUUAGAACAGUGCUUGGCACAUAGUAAGCAUUUAACAAAUAUCAACAUUAUCAUUAUUAUUCAAUAUCCGCAGGUCUGAAAAGUCGUCAAUUUAACGCCUUAUUUAUCUUGCAGCUUGCCGGUAAUACAAUCUCAUCUGCUGAUACGGCAUUUGUCAGCAAUUCAGGUUUCCUCAUCCAGAACACGGAACAGUGCUUGGCACAUAGUAAGCGCUUAACACAUACCGUCAUUAUUAUUAUGCCAACGCAGCUCACAUAUUUCACUGUGUGAGUAUGCACCGCAACACUGCCUUUCCUCGACUUUGUCAGUGUUGUGUCUUUGGCUGUUCUGGAACCGCUGCGUUCCAAGAAGCAACGAUAUCCGUGGGUGGAGAUUGAAACCAAAGGGAAAGAGAUAGUAUUUAGUCCUUCUUAGCAGGGGAGCAGGGUUGGCUGGAUUCCUUUGCCCCCAUCCGCCCCCAACACCCUCUUCUUCCUCCCACCCCCAGGAUCGUGACACCCAGACUCCUCCCCGACUCAGUAGCGAAGGGCUGAUGGAACCGUGGAAAAUUUUGACUGUUGAGAUUUUUUUCCUGUUUACUGGACUGAGAAUUGGGCAAGAGGAGGAGAGGGAGAACCACCAAGCAAGAACACCAGAGAGGUUUUCUAAGAGAGAAGUCUGAAAAGAGAUUGGCAAUAAUUUGGAAUUGCAUGCACUACUAAUGGAGACAGUAAGAUGGUCACUGAGAGAAGCCAGGAUAUUUAGCACUAAAUUGAUUGAAAGAUGAAUUUUGCCUAUCAGCUUCCGGUUGCUUGGUCAAACUGUGCUACCAUAAAUGAAUAAUCUCCAAUAUAAUCAAUUUUGAAUGCUUUUUCAUUUAUUUUUCUUUACAAUGAAGCACAGUUAAAAUCAUGCAGAAUUCAUGUGCUAGUUUCAAGAGACCAAUGGGCAAAGGCCCAGCUGCUAUCUGAAAGUUAUAAUGAUGAUGAUGAUGGGAUUUAUUAAGUACUUACUAUGUGCCAAGCACUGUUCUAAGCAUGGGAGGUGGGGAAAAUACAAGGUAAUCAGGUUGUCCCACGUGGGGCUCACAGUCUGAAACCCCAUUUUACAAAUGAGGUAACUGAGCACAGAAGUUAAGUGACCUGCCCCAAAUCACAGAGCUGAUGAGUGGCGGAGCCGGGAUUAGAACCCGUGACCUCUGACUCCCAAGCCCGUGCUCUUUCCACUGAGCCAAGCUGCUUCUCUAUAUUCUUUAUAGGCAACAGACAAAUUCCCUUGGUUUCAUGAGACCAUAUACAGCAU